rnacentral:tRNA from 1 species
GGACAGCUAGCUCAGUUGGUUAGAGCAACUGGUUUACACCCAGUAGGUCGCAGGUUCGAGUCCUGUGCUGUCCA